rnacentral:tRNA from 2 species
GGGCCCGUAGCUCAGCCAGGAUAGAGCGCCGGCCUCCGGAGCCGGAGGCCGCGGGUUCGAAUCCCGCCGGGCCCG